CUCCAUGGUGACUGUGCGAGGGGCACCCACGGGUGCGCCGGGUUUUUCCUUUGGACCGGUCCGUCAACCCCCGCGCAGUUGCCACCCAU
rnacentral:antisense_RNA from 1 species